CACCAUUUUUGUAAAUAGUUUGCCUUUUGACAUCCACUGCCUUUUGCCUUUUGAUCACCGUGUUGCCUCCACCGGAAUCCUGGAGAAGGUCCAGCAGAAAAGAAAAGCCUGCUCCAUUUGCCUGGGACAAGCCCCACGAUGUACGUCGUUGGAGAUGAGUUCACCUCUCUUCCCUUUGUUUAUGGAGCACCUGUUCAUGGCAGAGAGGGGGAAGCAUGCUGGUGUGCCUAGAAUAGCAAGCUCCAGAUUUCUGCAGGGAACCCCUGAGGGCAGCCUGUGUCCUGGAGAGGUGAAACUUCAGAGCCCCACGGGGCCACCGAGAGACACACCCCACAGUCUGUCCGUCUGUGCGCUCCCGUGUCAGUGUGCUGCUCUCCGUGAUCUGAAGUAUAACGCGAUGAGGUGUUUCCUAACAGAUAAAAUGCCAUGUUUAGAAAGCUC